rnacentral:lncRNA from 1 species
UGAUGAUGAUGAUUGCAGUUUCCCAAGAUUGACACAACUUUAACCACAGUAAACACUCAUUAUAAGUUUAUAAAUUUAUAACCCAUAAAAAACCCACAAUUAAAUCAUUAAAAAGAUAAAAACUUUAAGUACAUAUGACUUAUUAUGAGACACUAAAAAUAACCCAUAAAAAAAAACCCACAAUUAAAUCAUUAAAAAGAUAAAAAACUUUAAGUACAUAUAAGACAUUAAGAGACAUACCAAUGGAGAAUAUUGGUUUUUUUUUUCUUGUUGUGAAGAGCCAUUGA